GCCAGGUGUGGUGGCACAUGCCUGUAAUCCCAACAGCUUGGGAGGCUGAGGCAGGAGGAUUUCGAGUUCAAAGCCAUGCUCAGCAACUUAGUGAGGCCCUAAACAACUCAGUGAGACCCUGUCUCAA
rnacentral:sRNA from 1 species